GGCGGGUCUCCCCGCAUUGCACUUUGGUGAACCUGGUCAGGUCCGGAAGGAAGCAGCCACAGCCAAGCGGUGCAAGUGCCGGGGGUAAGGCUCGCCUCC
rnacentral:SRP_RNA from 3 species